CCUACGGGAGGCAGCAGUGGGGAAUAUUGGGCAAUGGAGGAAACUCUGACCCAGCAACGCCGCGUGAAUGAUGAAGGUCCUCGGAUUGUUAAGUUCCUUUUUAAGGGAAGAAGAAAGUGACGGUACCUUAGGAAUAAGCCUCGGCUAACUACGUGCCAGCAGCCGCGGCAAUACGUAGGAGGCGAGCGUUAUCCGGAGUGACUGGGCGUAAAGGGUGCGUAGGUGGUUUGGCAAGUUAGUAGCGUAACUCCAAGGCUCAACCUUGGAACUACUGCUAAAACUGUUGGACUUGAGUGCAGGAGGGGCAAGCGGAAUUCCUAGUGUAGCGGUGGAAUGCGUAGAUAUUAGGAGGAACACCAGUGGCGAAGGCGGGUUGCUGGACUGUAACUGACACUGAGGCACGAAAGCGUGGGGAGCGAACAGGAUUAGAUACCCUAGUAGUC
rnacentral:rRNA from 1 species